CUCCUGCUUCAGGUGCAGAAAUACAGCUAUUUCCAGUGCCAGCUGUUGAGCCACUGCCAGCACCAGGGCCAGAUUCCCCUCCAGGGACAGCGCUGGAGCUAGAGGAAGCUCCAGAGCCCUCCUGCCGCUGCCCUGGGACUGCCCAGGACCAGCCCAGUGAGGAGCUGCCUGACUUCAUGGCACCUCCUGUAGAGCCACGGGCCUCAGCCCUGGAGCUGAAAGUGUGGUUGGAGCUGGAGGUGGCAGAGAGGGGUGACCAGCACAGCUCCAGCCAGAAGCUCCCACACUGCUCCCAGUCCUGGGCACAGUGGAAGCUAUGGAGGCAGAGACCAGGAUGUGCAACCUGGGCUCCUCUGCCUCACUGGAGAGGGACUUCUCUCAUUCAGCAGAGCAGCAGCCCUGCUGCUGAAGGGCCUGCUGCUACUGCUGCUGGGGGUGUUUGCCUGCCUGCAGGAGGUGCUGGAGAGCAAGAAAAGGAGCCUGUGAGCAGGGGUUCCAGCAGGUCCUCCUGCUCCCAGAGGUGACCUCCUCCUCCAGGAAUGGAGGUUUGCCCUCAGCUAGGCAUCUGGGCCAUUUGCCUCUAAUGUGCUGCCCAGGAUGGCCUCUUCUUGACAGGUGGACAGGGGUUGAGGGGGCCAGGGGGCAUCUCCAAAGGAAGCUCUUAAACUCAGCAGCAGCACUCCAGAAUCUCCAUGCCUGCACCUGCCCAAGGAUUUAUUCAUAGCUUAACUAAGAAUUUCAAAUUUCUACAAUAACACUGAAAUAAAGUUUGACUUUUUGAAACUUC
rnacentral:lncRNA from 1 species